rnacentral:rRNA from 1 species
GUAGGGAAUCUUCGGCAAUGGACGAAAGUCUGACCGAGCAACGCCGCGUGAGUGAAGAAGGUUUUCGGAUCGUAAAACUCUGUUGUUAGAGAAGAACGUUGUGUAGAGUGGAAAAUUACACAAGUGACGGUAUCUAACCAGAAAGGGACGGCUAACUACGUGCCAGCAGCCGCGGUAAUACGUAGGUCCCGAGCGUUGUCCGGAUUUAUUGGGCGUAAAGCGAGCGCAGGUGGUUUAAUAAGUCUGAUGUAAAAGGCAGUGGCUCAACCAUUGUGUGCAUUGGAAACUGUUAGACUUGAGUGCAGUAGAGGAGAGUGGAAUUCCAUGUGUAGCGGUGAAAUGCGUAGAUAUAUGGAGGAACACCGGUGGCGAAAGCGGCUCUCUGGACUGUAACUGACACUGAGGCUCGAAAGCGUGGGUAGCAAACAGGAUUAGAUACCCCGGUAGUCC